rnacentral:rRNA from 1 species
UACCAGCACCCCGAGUGGUCGGGACGAUUAUUGGGCCUAAAGCAUCCGUAGCCGGUCCUGCAAGUCUUCCGUUAAAUCCACCUGCUUAACAGAUGGGCUGCGGAAGAUACUAUAGAGCUAGGAGGCGGGAGAGGCAAGCGGUACUCGAUGGGUAGGGGUAAAAUCCGUUGAUCCAUUGAAGACCACCAGUGGCGAAGGCGGCUUGCCAGAACGCGCUCGACGGUGAGGGAUGAAAGCUGGGGGAGCAAACCGG